rnacentral:rRNA from 1 species
GAGAACGCAGCGAAAUGCGAUACGUAAUGUGAAUUGCAAAUUCAGUGAAUCAUCGAGUCUUUGAACGCACAUUGCGCCCCCUGGUAUUCCGGGGGGCAUGCCUGUCCGAGCGUCAUUGCUGCCCUCAAGCCCGGCUUGUGUGUUGGGCCCCGUCCUCCGAUUCCGGGGGACGGGCCCGAAAGGCAGCGGCGGCACCGCGUCCGGUCCUCGAGCGUAUGGGGCUUUGUCACCCGCUCUGUAGGCCCGGCCGGCGCUUGCCGAUCAACCCAAAUUUUUAUCCAGGUUGACCUCGGAUCAGGUAGGGAUACCCGCUGAACUUAAGCAUAUCAAU